UACGUAGGUGGCAAGCGUUGUCCGGAUUUAUUGGGUUUAAAGGGUGCGUAGGCGGUUCCAUAAGUCAGUGGUGAAAUACGGCAGCUCAACUGUCGAGGUGCCAUUGAUACUGCGGAACUUGAGUACUGAUGAGGUAGGCGGAAUUGACGGUGUAGCGGUGAAAUGCUUAGAUAUCGUCAGGAACGCCGGUGGUGAAGACGGGUGACUUGGCCGGUUCUGACACUGAGGCACGAAA
rnacentral:rRNA from 1 species